GAUGAACGCUGGCGGCGUGCCUAAUACAUGCAAGUCGAGCGAACAGACGAGGAGCUUGCUCCUCUGACGUUAGCGGCGGACGGGUGAGUAACACGUGGAUAACCUACCUAUAAGACUGGGAUAACUUCGGGAAACCGGAGCUAAUACCGGAUAAUAUAUUGAACCGCAUGGUUCAAUAGUGAAAGACGGUUUUGCUGUCACUUAUAGAUGGAUCCGCGCCGCAUUAGCUAGUUGGUAAGGUAACGGCUUACCAAGGCGACGAUGCGUAGCCGACCUGAGAGGGUGAUCGGCCACACUGGAACUGAGACACGGUCCAGACUCCUACGGGAGGCAGCAGUAGGGAAUCUUCCGCAAUGGGCGAAAGCCUGACGGAGCAACGCCGCGUGAGUGAUGAAGGUCUUCGGAUCGUAAAACUCUGAUAUUAGGGAAGAACAAAUGUGUAAGUAACUAUGCACGUCUUGACGGUACCUAAUCAGAAAGCCACGGCUAACUACGUG
rnacentral:rRNA from 1 species